AUACCUAUUAUAUAGGCUUGGCCUUUUCUCAGCCUUCAGCUUUGUACGUGACCCGUUGUGGUUCGUGGGAACCAACGGGAGGGAGGGCGGCUCUAACAGAUGUUGAGGGUGAAUCUGUCACCUGCACUGUAGAGGAUGUGGCUGCUCCAGGUGACUCUUGGGUUAGGUGUGCUUGUUACUGAACAAAAUCCUUUUCAUCCUAAGCUUGAGUCUGCAACCAAAACGAUAGGAAUGGGACGGCUCUAUUUGGCUGUGCUUUCUUAAAACUGUAGUUUGAGUAAAUUAUCGACAUGGAUGAUGCUAGCCUGUACAAGCCUGGCAUCACGUUCUGCCUGAGGAAAAGGAAAAAGGAAUGUUAGAAAUGGUUGUGGGCGAGCGUGCCUGUGGAAGGAGCAUGGCUUUCCCUUUUCUUCUCGUGGGCUCUGAAAGGGCAUUGCCUCUACCAGCAUUCAGUCUACACCAGAGAUGAGGAUAUGUGUCCAUGCGCGUUGUCUGUGAGUGUGCGUGCGAGUGUUAAUGCAAACAGCUUGUAAAUACUAUAGUUGUUUAAAAUGGAAAAUAAAAGCUGAGAAGUCUUUUGACAUAUAUUGAUCAGAAAAAAAUACAGUAUUGACCGUGGAUAAAAACAGGAAAUAAAUUUUUUUUCAUUUUG
rnacentral:lncRNA from 1 species